CAGUCGCCGCGGUAAUACGUAGGGCGCAAGCGUUAUCCGGAAUUAUUGGGCGUAAAGAGCUCGUAGGCGGUUUGUCGCGUCUGCCGUGAAAGUCCGGGGCUCAACCCCGGAUCUGCGGUGGGUACGGGCAGACUAGAGUGAUGUAGGGGAGACUGGAAUUCCUGGUGUAGCGGUGAAAUGCGCAGAUAUCAGGAGGAACACCGACGGCGAAGGCAGGUCUCUGGGCAUUAACUGACGCUGAGGAGCGAAAGCAUGGGGAGCGAACAGGAUUAGAUACCCCUGUAGUCCCUGUCUCUUAUAC
rnacentral:rRNA from 1 species